CCCCCUGCCCAGAGGAGUAACCACAACCACCACCACCACUUUCCCAGUAGGCGUAGUUCCCUUCACAUCAACCAUCUCGAGUCAAGCAGAAGCUGAUUCACUCCUCUCUUGCCUCACCCAGCGUUCGUCUCGUCACCGGAGCCGUCAACGCUACGCAGAUCUGCAGGGAUGCCGGACAAGGCGAAGCACGGCAAGGCGGAGAAGCACGGCAAGGCGGAGAAGCACGGCAAGGCGGAGAAUCCGGGCAAGGCGGAGAAGCCGGACAUGACGGAGGUGAAGGAGUUCAAGCGUAGCAGCCUCAAGAAGGCCACAACGGAGAUCAAGAACACACUGCCCACACAGUCCGUGAUCGAACAGGAGAGGAAACUCUCCCAGACCGAGGCGGACUGAGGCACGGUGCGGUGCGCUGCCGUUUGGAGGAGGUGGUGGUGGGUGGGGGGGGGGAGGGGGCGGUGGUUGGCCCUCACGAUGAGGGUGGGUUACGGGGGGGGUCCCGAAGGCAAGGCACGAAAAAAGAUGAAUUUCGAUCCGAAGCUUUCGUGGCUGCGAGGAUUCAUCUUCUUCGGCAAAGUCACCACACGUAGAACGAGAGUAAAACAAUAAACUAAAACGAUAAAAUUCUCGCGACGUUUCGGCCACCACGACAACGCAAGCGGCCUUCCUCAGGUGAAAGGAACAGUCCUGUCGGGACGACGGAGCUGCAACGGACAGCUGCUAAGCUUCGAUCAGCGUCUUUUAAGCCGGUCGAGAGAGAGGCGAGGCACCUUGACGAAAGGCGCUUACACAUCAGACGGGAGAAUCUUGGCGGCGUUCACUGUAGCUCCGUCGCCCCGGCAGGUCUGUUCCGUUCGCCUGAGGAAGGCCGCUUGUGUUGUGGUGGCCGAAACGUCGCGAGAAUUGUAUUGCUCUACUUUAUCAUUUUGUUCCCAUUCUACGUGGUGGUGGUGGUGGUGGUGGUGGCGACCUUUGCCGAAAGAACCAAGGCACGAAAGAAAUCACGAAAAGCGUUCUACGUUACAUCGUCCCCCUCCCCCGCCGCCCCGCCCCGCCCCCUUUGCUGUCCUCAUUUUCGUCGCUUCACAUUUGUUUGGGGAGGGAAAGGUUUCGGUUUAGAGAGUAGCUACGGUGGACACAAAAGCUGCAUUUCGCUCCGGUGUAGGGGGAAAGCCUGUGUUGUAGGCCGCAUCAGGGCCUACAAUUGCAGGCUUCUUUGUCACGACACGCCCCCCCCCACCCACCCCACCCCACUCCACUCCACUCUCCACCCUCCCCGUUAGUUUCUCCGCCUGAUUAUUUUUUUACGUUUGGGUAGGGAAGGGUUUCGGUUUAGAGAGUAGCUACGGUGGACACAAAAGCUGCAUUUCGCUCCGGUGUAGGGGGAAAGCCUGUGUUGUAGGCCGCAUCAGGGCCUACAAUUGCAGGCUUCUUUGUCACGACACGCCCCCCCCACCCCACUCCACUCCACUCUCCACCCUCCCCGUUAGUUUCUCCGCCUGAUUAUUUUUUACGUUAAUUUUUUUUUGCUUUGGUUAUCGUCGCCUCUUAGGCCAGUCGUUUCAGCUGCUGCACGUGAGUGAGCUCGCCUGUGUAGCUUGCUCUGCCGCUCAAUAAUAAUAAAGCCUGCCACUCUUAA